UACGAAGGGUGCUAGCGUUGUUCGGAAUCACUGGGCGUAAAGCGCGCGCAGGCGGCUUUGCAAGUCAGAGGUGAAAUCCCUGGGCUUAACCCAGGAAUUGCCUUUGAAACUGCAUGGCUGGAGUGUCGGAGGGGAUAGCGGAAUUCCUAAUGUAGUGGUGAAAUACGUAGAUAUUAGGAGGAACACCGGUGGCGAAGGCGGCUAUCUGGACGACAACUGACGCUGAGGCGCGAAAGCGUGGGGAUCAAACAGG
rnacentral:rRNA from 1 species